UACGUAGGGUGCAAGCAUUAAUCGGAUUUAUUGGGCGUAAAGGGCGCGUAGGCGGGAAGAUAAGUCAGAUGUGAAAGCCCGGGGCUCAACCCCGGAACAGCAUUUGAAACUAUCAUUCUAGAGGGUAGGCGGAGAAAAUGGAAUUCCACAAGUAGCGGUGAAAUGCGUAGAUAUGUGGAAGAACACCAGUGGCGAAGGCGGUUUUCUAGCUUAUACCUGACGCUGAGGCGCGAAAGCAAGGGGAGCAAACAGG
rnacentral:rRNA from 1 species